CACGUAGGGGGCAAGCGUUGUCCGGAUUCAUUGGGCGUAAAGAGCUCGUAGGCGGUUCGAUAAGUCGGGUGUGAAACCUCCAGGCUCAACCUGGGGACGCCACCCGAUACUGUCGUGACUAGAGUCCAGUAGGGGAGCGUGGAAUUCCUGGUGUAGCGGUGAAAUGCGCAGAUAUCAGGAGGAACACCAGCGGCGAAGGCGGCGCUCUGGGCUGGAACUGACGCUGAGGAGCGAAAGCGUGGGGAGCGAACAGG
rnacentral:rRNA from 1 species